rnacentral:lncRNA from 1 species
GGUGUGUGUGCCCUUCUAUCAUGCGUGUCAGUGACCAGAAAGGCAGAGACCAAAGAGCAAAGCUAAAAUUCAAGUAAUGGACUAUUUGGAUGAUAGCGUGCCCGGAAUUGGUUCCUUCCGAUAUUCUUGGUCUCGCUGACUUUAACAAUGAAGCCUCAGACCAUUGCGCACAGUCCAGUGUUAAGACAGGGCAUGAGGACCAGCUCCACUGGAAACACCAGCCAGCGUCUUAACCGGGGAGGAAGGAAGGUGUGUGCUGGGCAAGUGGGGCAUGUGACAAAGUGGAACUGAAGUGGCCGUCGCUUGCCUUUAGGCCAGCAGGUUCCUCAGCAGCCUUUGCUCAUAGGCUGGCUUAACUAUGAUCCUGCUGUGGGAAGAUAAAAAAACUGACCGAAGGAGAUAGGCUGAGUAAUGGCUCCCUCAAGAUGUCCAUAUUUCAUCCCUGGAACCUGUGAAUACAUUUCUUUAUGUGGCAAAAGGGACUUUGUGGCUGUGAUUAAACUAAGAACCUUGAAAUGAGGAGAUUCUCCGGGAUCGUCCAGAUGCAUCAAAUGUAACAAGAAGGAGUCAGAGUCAGGCUGGAAGCCGCUAUGCUGCUGGCUUUGAAGGCAGAUGAAGGGGCCAAGGAAUUAGGGUGGUCUCUAGAAUCUGGAAAAGGCAAUGAAAUUGAUUCUCCCCUAGAGCUUUCAGAAGGAAUGCAGCCUUGCCCACACCUUCAUUUUAGACCAGUGAAACUGAUUUUAGACUUCUGACUGCCAGAACUGUAAGAUAAUAAAUGUAUAUUGUUU